UACGUAGGGGGCGAGCGUUGUCCGGAUUCAUUGGGCGUAAAGAGCUCGUAGGCGGUUCCGUCAGUCGGGUGUGAAAACUCUGGGCUCAACCCAGAGACGCCACCCGAUACUGCGGUGACUAGAGUCCGGUAGGGGAGUGCGGAAUUCCUGGUGUAGCGGUGAAAUGCGUAGAUAUCAGGAGGAACACCGGUGGCGAAGGCGGCUACCUGGACAGAAACUGACGCUGAGGCGCGAAAGCUAGGGGAGCAAACAGG
rnacentral:rRNA from 1 species